ACACCUCAACCCUCGUGGUUCGCCACGAUCGGCUUGGACUUUGGAGGUUUUGCUGGCCCACUCCUGUGGUCGGCUCCUCUCAAAUGGAUCGGCUUUCCAGUGUUUGGUGGCGUUGCAGGUGUGAUAACUAUCUACGCUUGUGGCCGUCCACCAUGUAACCUUCGGCGACGAGGGUUCACCGGAGCUUACAGAUGUCUUCCUGAGCGAAGACGACUUUUUGAUC
rnacentral:misc_RNA from 1 species